AAGAACUGAGAGCAUUGUUUAGGUGACACUCUAGAGAUGAAUUCUUCUCCAAGCUUAGUGGCUGUGGUACUGUUAGUGCUUGGACAAGUACGUGGUGACUCAGUGACCCAGAUGGGAGGCCAACUGACCGUCUCAGAAAAAGCUUCCUUGACUGUGAACUGUACUUAUUCAGCCUUGGGAUACCUUGUGCUUUUCUGGUACAUGCAGUAUCCUGGAGAAGGUCUGCAGUUACUCCUAAAAGCCCAGACAGACAAAGCAAAGGGAACAAACAAAGGUUUUGAAGCUACAUAUGAUAAAGAAACUUCCUCCUUCCACUUGAAGAAAGUCUCAGUCCAAGAAUCGGAUUCAGCUGUGUACUACUGUGCUAUGAGUGACACGGUGACAGGAACUGCAGGGGAAGCUGAACUCAAACUCUGA